UCUGGGAUGGAGUGAUGUUAGUUAGCACAAGCUCAGCUUGAAUUUCCUGUGUAGCUAAUGCUGGCCUUGAACUCCUGAUCUUUCUGCCUCUACUUUGUAAAUGCUAGGAUUAUAGGCAUGUCCCAACAUUCCCAUAGAAAAGCAUACAAUCCACACUUGAUCCAUCUCAGGUGAAGAGAUUUUUGGAUUGUGAGUUGAUACUGUUAUGGGGGAGAGUUUAGCAGUCCUGAGAACAGUUAGUAGAUUUUAGAUUUUAAUUUAAUUUAAAUUAUUGGGGCCAGAAGGUAUGAUGGGCAGUCUCUACUAUGGAUCCCAGAGAUCCUCUCUUCCUCAAAUUCAUAUCCUUUCCAGAUUUCUUUCUUUUCUGUGAGCCGAGCCUAUUGACUUAUAUCUAACAGAUAGAAUGCGGCAGAUGACAGAAUGUUCUAUUACAUUUCUCAUCACUAUGACUAAACAACUGACAACAAGAAAGUAAAGAUCAGGAGCAUCUGACCGUCACAAGGGAAAAAUCAGAAGAUUGAUUGAGACAUUUGGCUGAAUGGAAUGGAAACUCCUCGGUGGUGCCUGUAUCCAAGACAACCAUGUCAAGAGACAGAGGCUGGCCAUGGCCACUGCCAAGCAGAAAGCCUGGAAAAGUGAAGAAAGGCCUGAUUGAUCACAAGAUUCUAUCAGAUGUCGAAGCUGGCCCUAGCUGACCUUGCAUGUACCCAGAACUGCCUGAUUUAAUCUCUACAUUAGCAGCUUCUCCUGGCUGGGAGUUCUAUCUGCAAGCCAUGCAUCAGCAUUGAGCUAUGACCUGAGUCAUGCUCCAUUCAUCUUCUCUGAAGGAAGGAAAUUAAACUAGAGGUUUGAAAGAGGAAAGUGUUCAAAAUACAUUCACAUUAGCUGACGCCUUGUGUGUGGGUGCAUUUGAGGAGCUUGAGCAACCAAUAAAAAUGAUAUGAAAAUGUAAUUGACCUU
rnacentral:sRNA from 1 species